ACGCUCGACACCUACGGAGGCAGCAGUAGGGAAUCUUCCACAAUGGACGCAAGUCUGAUGGAGCAACGCCGCGUGAGUGAAGAAGGUCUUCGGAUCGUAAAACUCUGCUGUUAGAGAAGAACACGAGUGAGAGUAACUGUUCAUUCGAUGACGGUAUCUAACCAGCAAGUCACGGCUAACUACGUGCCAGUAGCCGCGGUAAUCUGAGCGGGCUGGCAAGGC
rnacentral:rRNA from 1 species